UUCUUAUCAAGAGAGGUGGAGGGACUGGCCCUAUGAAACCCAGCAACCUAGAGCCAUGCUCAGUGGUGCUAAUUCCAACAGGUGUAUUCCUGGCAGAUAAGUA
rnacentral:ncRNA from 2 species